CAGGGUUUGCUUGCAAACCGCUGACGACCGGCGCACGGGUGCGUAACGCGUAUAGAACCUACCCUUUACAGGGAGAUAGCCCGGAGAAAUCCGGAUUAAUAUCCCAUAGUAAUAUUUUAUGGCAUCGUAAGAUAUUUAAAGUUACGGCGGUAAAGGAUGGCUAUGCGUCUUAUUAGCUAGUAGGUGAGGUAACGGCUUACCUAGGCUACGAUAAGUAGGGGCCCUGAGAGGGGGAUCCCCCACACUGGUACUGAGACACGGACCAGACUCCUACGGGAGGCAGCAGUGAGGAAUAUUGGACAAUGGGCGGAAGCCUGAUCCAGCCAUGCCGCGUGCAGGAAGACAGCCCUACGGGUUGUAAACUGCUUUUAUACAGGAAGAAUAAGGGGUACGUGUACCCUGGUGACGGUACUGUAAGAAUAAGGACCGGCUAACUCCGUGCCAGCAGCCGCGGUAAUACGGAGGGUCCGAGCGUUAUCCGGAAUCAUUGGGUUUAAAGGGUCCGCAGGCGGGCAAUUAAGUCAGGGGUGAAAUGCUGCAGCUCAACUGUAGCACUGCCCUUGAUACUGGUUGUCUUGAGUUAUAGUGGAGUGGCUGGAAUAUGUAGUGUAGCGGUGAAAUGCAUAGAUAUUACAUAGAACACCAAUCGCGAAGGCAGGUCACUAACUAUUAACUGACGCUGAUGGACGAAAGCGUGGGGAGCGAACGGGAUUAGAUACCCCGGUAGUCCACGCCGUAAACGAUGGAUACUAGCUGUUGGGUUUUCUUAACUCGGUGGCCAAGCGAAAGUGAUAAGUAUCCCACCUGGGGAGUACGUUCGCAAGAAUGA
rnacentral:rRNA from 1 species